GUAGGUGAACCUGCGGAAGGAUCAUUAAUGGUGCUUGCAGAAUGCUUGCACGGCGGCGGCCUUAAAACGCGCCAAAUGGCACCCUUUGUUUACGAGUACCGUUCGUCUCCUCGGUGGGCUUGCCUGCCAUGAGGACCAACAAAAACCUUUUGUAGUAGCAGUAUCUUCAGUAAAAACAAAUAUUAAAACUUUCAACAACGGAUCUCUUGGUUCUGGCAUCGAUGAAGAACGCAGCAUCUGACUGACUGGC
rnacentral:misc_RNA from 1 species